rnacentral:rRNA from 1 species
ACACCUGUACCCAUGCCGAACACAGCAGUUAAGCCCUAGAACGCCUGAAGUAGUUGGGGGGUUCCCCCUGUUAGAUACGGUAGUCGCUUAGC